rnacentral:rRNA from 1 species
AGGACGAAACGCUGGCGGCGUGCUUAACACAUGCAAGUCGAACGAGGUGCUUGCACCUAGUGGCGAACGGGUGAGUAACACGUGAGCAACCUGCCCUUGGCUCUGGGAUAGCCUCCGGGAAACGGGGAUUAAUACCGGACAUGACCUUGGUCUGCAUGGACUGAGGUGGUAAAGUUUUUCGGCCAGGGAUGGGCUCGCGGCCUAUCAGCUUGGUUGGGGGGUAACGGCCCACCAAGGCGACGACGGGUA